CAGUCGCCGCGGUAAUACGUAGGGUGCGAGCGUUAAUCGGAAUUACUGGGCGUAAAGCGUGCGCAAGCGGUUGUGUAAGACAGGUGUGAAAUCCCCGGGCUUAACCUGGGAACUGCGCUUGUGACUGCACAGCUAGAGUAUGGCAGAGGGGGGUGGAAUUCCACGUGUAGCAGUGAAAUGCGUAGAGAUGUGGAGGAACACCGAAGGCGAAGGCAGCCCCCUGGGCCAAUACUGACGCUCAUGCACGAAAGCGUGGGGAGCAAACAGGAUUAGAUACCCGCGUAGUCCCUGUCUCUUAUAC
rnacentral:rRNA from 1 species